rnacentral:rRNA from 1 species
UACAGAGGUCCCGAGCGUUGUUCGGAUUCACUGGGCGUAAAGGGUGCGUAGGUGGUGAGGUAAGUCGGAUGUGAAAGCUCGGAGCUCAACUCCGAAAUGGCAUUGGAAACUACCUUGCUCGAGGGUUUGAGGGGGGACUGGAAUACUUGGUGUAGCAGUGAAAUGCGUAGAUAUCAAGUGGAACACCGAUGGCGAAGGCAAUCCCCUGGGCCUGCACUGACGCUCAUGCACGAAAGCGUGGGGAGCAAACAAGG